AUUGAACGCUGGCGGCAUGCUUUACACAUGCAAGUCGAACGGUAACAGGCCUUCGGGUGCUGACGAGUGGCGAACGGGUGAGUAAUGCAUCGGAACGUACCCAGAGUUGGGGGAUAACGCAGCGAAAGCUGUGCUAAUACCGCAUGUGAUCUGAGGAUGAAAGCGGGGGACCGAGCAGCAAUGUUUGGCCUCGCGCCUUUGGAGCGGCCGAUGUCGGAUUAGCUAGUUGGUGGGGUAAAGGCCUACCAAGGCGACGAUCCGUAGCUGGUCUGAGAGGACGACCAGCCACACUGGGACUGAGACACGGCCCAGACUCCUACGGGAGGCAGCAGUGGGGAAUUUUGGACAAUGGGAGCAAGCCUGAUCCAGCAAUGCCGCGUGCGGGAAGAAGGCCUUCGGGUUGUAAACCGCUUUUGGCAGGAACGAAACGGUGUCCGCUAAUACCGGGCGCUAAUGACGGUACCUGCAGAAUAAGCACCGGCUAACUACGUG
rnacentral:rRNA from 1 species